UAUUUAUUUAUUUUUCGCUGCGUUGGGUCUUCAUUGCGGCACGCGGGCUUUCUCUAGUUGCGGCGAGCGGGGGCUACUCUUCGUUGCGGUGCGCAGGCUUCUCGUUGCGGCGGCUUCUCUUGUUGUGGAGCAUGGGCUCUAGAGCGCAUGGGCUUCAUUGCUCCACGGCAUGUGGGAUCUUCCCGGACCAGGGCUUGAACCCGUUUCCCCUGCAUUGGCAGGCG